GGAGGGUGCAAACGUUGCUCGGAUUUACUGGGCGUAAAGCGCAUGCAGGCGGGUCUGCAAAGUUUCGAGUGAAAGCCCUGGGGCUCAACCCAGGAAGUGCACGGAAAACUCGCAGACUAGAGUACUGGAGAAGUGGGCGGAAUUCCCGGUGUAGAGGUGAAAUUCGUAGAUAUCGGGAGGAACACCAGCAGCGAAGGCGGCUCACUUGACAGAUACUGACGCUCAGAUGCGAAAGCGUGGGGAGCAAACAGGAUUAGAUACCCUGGUAGUCCACGCCGUAAACGAUGGGCACUAGGUGUCGGGGGCUUGACCCCUUCGGCGCCGCCGCUAACGCAUUAAGUGCCCCGCCUGGGGACUACGGUCGCAAGACUA
rnacentral:rRNA from 1 species